GACAGAGGUGGCAAGCGUUGUUCGGAAUUACUGGGCUUAAAGGGCGCGUAGGCGGUGGUGUAAGUCUGAGGUGGAAUCCCGGAGCUUAACUGCGGGACUGCCUUGGAAACUGCAUCGCUUGAGUCGAGCAGGGGAAGGCGGAAUUCCUGGUGUAGCGGUGAAAUGCGUAGAUAUCAGGAGGAAGGCCUGUGGUGAAGACGGCCUUCUGGGCUUUGACUGACGCUGAGGCGCGAAAGCGUGGGGAGCAAACAGG
rnacentral:rRNA from 1 species